AUAUAUGUCUACAACAUAGUGUUAAUGCAUCAAACCCCAUUAGAACUUUGCAGUUAAGCGUGCUCGAGCUAGAGUAGUACUAAGAUGGGUGAUUGCCUGGGAAGUCUGAGUGUUUUACAUG
rnacentral:rRNA from 1 species